UCUUUUUCUAGUUGUUGUGUUAAUUAAAUGCAAACUUUCUGAAAUUUUUUGGUGUUCUUUGACGUGUACUGAUAAUUGAUUUCUCCGAUGAGAGAAAGGGGACAGAAAAGCUGAAUGUGGUAGUUGGAGUCGGAUUAAUUUGCAAUCGAGUGCCUUUUUGUUUUCAUAAGAAGUGAGAUAAUCCCUGCAAAUUAUGCUAUGAUAUUCACAAUCCAUUGCUAAUAUUUUGGCGUUGGACUGAUCGCGGAGUUGCGAACAUUGAUUAAUUACUGGGAAUUUACUGUGAUGUGCUCUGUUUUUGUUGUUGUUUUUAAAUUAUCCUUGGUCGGCAAUUUGGGAGUUAUUGAGGAAUUUCACGAUUUCCUAGGUGUUUGUGGUAUUUAUGUUUUUGUAAUUAAUUUAUAUGGGGUUUCUUGGUCUGAAGGAUGUUGGCACUUCAAGCUUUUUUUUAUUAAUAGAUUUGAUUUCUCUCUUUUAUUAUUUUGCAUUUACUACUUCAGUGCUAAUGCCGUAGUGCCAGUUUGCUCUCCAUGUGAUUGCAGUAAUAG
rnacentral:misc_RNA from 1 species